CCCUUAGAUGUUCUGGGCCGCACGCGCGCUACACUGAUGCAUUCAACGAGCCUAGCCUUGACCGAGAGGUCCGGGUAAUCUUUGAAACUGCAUCGUGAUGGGGCUAGAUUAUUGCAAUUAUUAAUCUUCAACGAGGAAUGCCUAGUAAGCGUGAUUCAUCAAAUCGCGUUGAUUACGUCCCUGCCCUUUGUACACACCGCCCGUCGCUCCUACCGAUUGAGUGUGUUGGUGAGGAGUUCGGAUUGGCUCUUAGUGGUGGUUCGCCACCACCUAGAGCUGAGAAGUUCUCCAAACCGCCCCACUUAGAGGAAGGAGAANUCGUANCA
rnacentral:rRNA from 1 species